UACGUAGGGGGCAAGCGUUGUCCGGAAUUAUUGGGCGUAAAGAGCUCGUAGGCGGUUUGUCGCGUCUGCUGUGAAAACCUGAGGCUCAACCUCGGGCUUGCAGUGGGUACGGGCAGACUAGAGUGCGGUAGGGGUGACUGGAAUUCCUGGUGUAGCGGUGGAAUGCGCAGAUAUCAGGAGGAACACCGAUGGCGAAGGCAGGUCACUGGGCCGCAACUGACGCUGGAGGAGCG
rnacentral:rRNA from 1 species